AGAAGUGAAAGCCGAUUGCGGUCAUUUUCCCGGUUUCACUUUCAGGAUGGAAGAACGUUAACAUUUUAAAACUAAAAAUUCUAAUAUGUGGCGGGAAAGAUGACACUCGGAUGGGUAUUUUACAAGUGUUGGCAACAGUGGAAAGUACAAAGAGUAACUCGGAAUGUAGAGACCUACUGCUAUCAAUGCAAAACUUUAGUACAUUUGGUGCUGGAUACAGAAGAUUUUGAGAUCUUGCCCGGAAAAAUCAUCAGACUGAAAGGGACUUGUGUUCAGUGCAAUGCUCCUAUUGUCAAAAACCAUAUUUUGAAGGGAUGGCACAGAGCCCUCUUCUAAAAAUUAAAAAAAAAAUUUCACUGGAUCAGCACUGACAUCAAUAAAACUAAUCAACAUUUACAAUAAAUUGUUCCGAAAGCAGACAAGGCAUAAAAAAAUCCACAGUGGAAUGUAAAGUCAUGUAAAUGUAAAUGUGAUAAAUAUAAUUUUAGCUAUAAAACUUACCUUUAAAUACUACCAGUAUGUAUAUUAUUAUUUCAUUUAUAAAUUUAUUUAUUUCUUUUAACUUAUUUGAUUUAUUAUCAAUGAAUUAAAUUUUAGACUAAUCAAAUAA